GCGGAUGUGGCGAAAUGGCAGACGCGCUGGUCUUAGGAACCAGUACUUCGGUGUGGGGGUUCAAGUCCCUUCAUCCGCACCA
rnacentral:tRNA from 1 species